rnacentral:rRNA from 1 species
GUCUACGGCCAUACCACGUUGAAAACACCAGUUCUCGUCCGAUCACUAAAGUUAAGCAACGUCGGGCUCGGUUAGUACUUGGAUGGGUGACCGCCUGGGAACACCGAGUGCUGUAGACG